rnacentral:tRNA from 1 species
GCCUCGGUAGCUCAGUUGGUAGAGCAGUUGACUCUUAAUCAAUUGGUCGUAGGUUCGAGUCCUACCCGGGGCACCA